rnacentral:lncRNA from 1 species
GCGCGCUCCAGGGUAGGGCAGGCGCAGCCUCUCGCCCGGCGCCUGCGCACCUGCUCUCUCCUCGAGCCCUGCAGCCCGGCGAAAUGGCUCCCGGCGGGGCCGUUUGCGCAUGCCCAGUCAUGACGGUUGUCGGCGCGGGCCCUAGCGUGGCGGCGCUGCAGUCUGGGCAGUGGGUUGGUUCCUCCUCGGUCCUCUGUCGAGUGGCGACAGGGCCUAGCCACCUGGCGGGGGUGACCUUCGGACGUGCGACCCGCUCGGAGAAGGGAGGGAACUGUGGCCCGCAACAAAGCAGUGACAGGCCCGACAUCCCCUGCAGGGCGAUCUUUCCCUCAGCUGCCUGCCGGAGGAAGGGCCUUUCUGUUUCACAGGGCUAAAGAUGGGGCGCGGUUCCUCCACGGGGCGGCUGCCGGGUGAACGGAACGGGGAUGGAGGCGCUGCCAGAAGAGCCCGAGCUCGAGCCCGCCCUGCCCUCGGCCUCCCCGCCGCGCCGCUCCGCAGGAGCCCCGCUCCUCUCCUGCUCGCUCCGGAGAACCCCAGUCCGGCCUGACCUCGGCCCUCGCGGUCAGGCGCUCCAACCAGAGCGACUCCAGCUCGAACAGCGCUGGGUAAACUGAGGCUGAACCCCGCUGGCUGCAUCCCCAGGAGUCGGGCGUUUACGGUCACGGGAACAGGUUAAUAAACUUUUACGCAGCAGACCCGGAACUUAGGUCCCGAUGUCCGGGUAUCUUAAGAACAAGAAGCAUUCUUAGUUGAAGUUUCGCUUUAAAGAUAAUGAUACAGAUGCUUGCGGAGGACAGGCGUUAUGCAAAGAUUGGCAAUCCUUUGACGAGCCCAGGUAGUACAGCACGUCUCCCCCGUGAUGUUUUUUGGCUUUUAUCUUACAUAUAAACAAGCGUACCCAGGUGGACGCCUUCCUCCUCGUGCUUUUGGGAACACCCUGCUCUAUGGAGUAGCCAUUCUUUUAUUCCUUCACUGCCUUAAUAAACUUGCUUUCACUUUAAAAAAAAAAAAAAAAAAAAAAAAA